rnacentral:tRNA from 1 species
UCCCUCGUCGUCCAGUCGGCAGGACACAGCACUCUGGAUGCUGGAAGCGUGGUUCGAGUCCAUGCGAGGGAG